rnacentral:rRNA from 1 species
UGCGCAGGCGGGCUUGUAAGUCAGUGGUGAAAUACUGCCGCUUAACGGUAGAACUGCCAUUGAUACUGCAAGUCUUGAAUAUGGUUGAGGUAGGCGGAAUGUGUCGUGUAGCGGUGAAAUGCAUAGAUAUGACACAGAACGCCGAUUGCGAAGGCAGCUUACUAAGCCAUUAUUGACGUUGAGGCACGAAAGCGUGGGGAGCGAACAGGAUUAGAUACCCUGGUAGUCC